GUAAGGAAUAUUGGACAAUGGACGCAAGUCUGAUCCAGCCAUGCCGCGUGAAGGAUUAAGGUCCUCUGGAUUGUAAACUUCUUUUAUAAGGGACGAAAAAAGGCUUUUCUAAGUCGUCUGACGGUACCUUAUGAAUAAGCACCGGCUAACUCCGUGCCAGCAGCUGCGGUAAUACGGAGGGUGCAAGCGUUAUCCGGAUUCACUGGGUUUAAAGGGUGCGUAGGCGGGCAGGUAAGUCAGUGGUGAAAUCCUAGAGCUUAACUCUAGAACUGCCAUUGAUACUAUCUGUCUUGAAUAUUGUGGAGGUAAGCGGAAUAUGUCAUGUAGCGGUGAAAUGCUUAGAUAUGACAUAGAACACCUAUUGCGAAGGCAGCUUACUACGCAUAUAUUGACGCUGAGGCACGAAAGCGUGGGGAUCAAACAGGAUUAGAAACCCCAGUAGUCC
rnacentral:rRNA from 1 species